GCAGACUCACUCUGCACCCUGCUGCAACCCCAAGUGUGGGUGCUUUUUCCAUCUGCCACAGAAACGUGCCAGGGGACCGGAACCACUUUGACCUGUCAAAGUGGAUGGAGCUUCCUGGGGACAGAUAU